rnacentral:lncRNA from 1 species
ACAAAUAAUACUAAUCUUGUCUAGAUACCGCCUUGGUUACACCGGCUCUCUAGUAUAAGGUUAUUAUUAUUUGGCACGAUAAGCCCUUAGCACCAUAUUGAUUAGAGCGUGGUUCAUGAGGUGUGGAUUCCCCCCUCAUGAUUUAAUUGGCAUUAAUACGGAUUAUUUAGCCCAUGAUGCAUGUUGAUACGGAUCCAGAUACCCAAGUACGUCAAUUUAAUAGAUUUUCUUUUCAAUUUAUUCUCUCCAUUGCAAUUCCAAUUUUAGAAUUUAUUCUCGCCAUUUUAAUUUAAGUAUUAGCAUAUUCCAAAUCAUUUCCCCCAUAAAUCCAACUACCCAUUUACAAAAUUAAUUUUAUAUAUAAUUAAAAUCCACCUCCUCGUGGGAUCGACACUUGUCACCAUUAGUCUAUACUACAAUAGAUUCGUGCGCUUGCGAGUACAUUAAAAUUUGCACAACAAGUUUUUGGCGCCGUUGCCGGGGAGGUAAGUAAUUUUAAUUCAUAGAAUUAAUUUUUGUGAAUAAUUUCUUUUAUUUGUUUUCUUGUAUUUUUUUUUAUUAUUAAAAAAAAAAGAAAAAAAA